CUGAAAAAGUCGGGUCUUUCCAUUUGCUUCUGGUACGUUCUUCUUCCUCCUCUCUUCACUUUUGCUCUUCGCUUUCUAUCUGCAACCUUAAAACUCUCAAACCACAAGCCAACCAUAACCAAACCCUCCUCAACUCUUCUUUCUCCCUUCUCUCUCUUUCCUCUCACUUUUAUCUCCGUGAUACACUUAAUAGAAAGUGUCGUACGGCGGCGAUUUCGACGAUUCCGGCAACGGCCGGCCUCGACGUUGGUCUCAAACGGUUGCUCUUCACAUCAGGUAGCUUGUAGACCUAUUGCAGGUUUACGGAAGUGAAUCCAAAGGGGAAGGUGCCUGUGGACCUGCGGUGAAGUUUGAUGACAAAUGGGUGGCGGAUUCUGAUGUCAUUGUUGGUUCUAUUUUUAUUCAUCUCUCCAAUUGGUUCUUUUUUUAUUCUCACCAACUUUUUUGUCUAAUAUUAUUUGUUUCAUUUUUUUGGUGACUUUUGUAGAAGGGACCUUCGCCAAGGUGAAGUAUCUAAACAUGAAUCGCAACAGUUAGCUUUGAUUCAUGUUCUACAUUUUUUUUUGUGUCUAAUAUUAUUAAAAGAUGAUUCAACUUUUUUGCAUAAAAUUGCAUCAGUUUAUAUAAAGAUGAGAUACAGAUGAACUCA